GCCAUGUUCGUUUCAUAGUCGCCGCUUCCGGCGACUGCGUCAAAAAAAUGUUCCGUGAUGUAGACAAAAAUAACAAAGUCGGAGACGCAGAAAACCCAAAGUAGUGGCUAAUACAUUGCCGGAGACGCAGAAACUUCGACGCUGAUGACGCUGCUUUAUUUCGCGUCCGUUAUAUUGGCUAGUAGUUGCCGCAGUGACUGGAAAUCAGUGAAUCGUGCUUCACAGGUGCUGUGUAUUUCUGUCAUUAAUGACUUAAUUUUUUGACGCAACCGCCGGAGUCAGCGUCGA
rnacentral:lncRNA from 1 species